GUGCCAGCAGCCGCCGGUAAUACGUAGGGGUGCAAGCGUUGUCCGGAAUUAUUGGGCGUAAAGAGCUCGUAGGCGGUUUGUCGCGUCUGCUGUGAAAUCCCGAGGCUCAACCUCGGGCCUGCAGUGGGUACGGGCAGACUAGAGUGCGGUAGGGGAGAUUGGAAUUCCUGGUGUAGCGGUGGAAUGCGCAGAUAUCAGGAGGAACACCGAUGGCGAAGGCAGAUCUCUGGGCCGUAACUGACGCUGAGGAGCGAAAGCGUGGGGAGCGAACAGGAUUAGAUACCCUGGUAGUCC
rnacentral:rRNA from 1 species